AUUGAACGCUGGCGGCAUGCCUUACACAUGCCAGUCGAACGGUAACGGGCCUUCGGGUGCCGACGAGUGGCGAACGGGUGCGUAAUACAUCGGAACGUGCCCGAUCGUGGGGGAUAACGAGGCGAAAGCUUUGCUAAUACCGCAUACGAUCUACGGAUGAAAGCAGGGGACCGCAAGGCCUUGCGCGGACGGAGCGGCCGAUGGCAGAUUAGGUAGUUGGUGGGAUAAAAGCUUACCAAGCCGACGAUCUGUAGCUGGUCUGAGAGGAUGAUCAGCCACACUGGGACUGAGACACGGCCCAGACUCCUACGGGAGGCAGCAGUGGGGAAUUUUGGACAAUGGGCGCAAGCCUGAUCCAGCCAUGCCGCGUGCAGGAUGAAGGCCUUCGGGUUGUAAACUGCUUUUGUACGGAACGAAAAGCCUUCUUUUAAUACAGGAGGGUCAUGACGGUACCGUAAGAAUAAGCACCGGCUAACUACGUG
rnacentral:rRNA from 1 species